GACGAACGCUGGCGGCGUGCCUAACACAUGCAAGUCGAGCGGGGUUGAAGCGAGGGGUAACUCGAGUUUCUACCUAGCGGCGGACGGGUGAGUAACGCGUGGGCAACCUGCCUCAAGGACUGGGAUAACAGCUCGAAAGGGCUGCUAAUACCGGAUAAGCCUAUGGCCUCGCAUGGGGCCAUGAGCAAAGGGGAAACCCGCCUUGAGAUGGGCCCGCGUCCCAUCAGCUAGUUGGUGAGGUGAAGGCUCACCAAGGCGACGACGGGUAGCCGGCCUGAGAGGGUGACCGGCCACACUGGGACUGAGACACGGCCCAGACUCCUACGGGGGGCAGCAGUGGGGAAUCUUGCACAAUGGGCGAAAGCCUGAUGCAGCGACGCCGCGUGAGCGAAGAAGGCCUCGGUUGUAAGCUCUGUCUGGAGGGACGGAAGGAAGUAGACGGUACCGUCCGGACGGAAGCCGACGGCUAACUACGUGCCAGCAGCCGCGGUAAUAUCACGUGUACG
rnacentral:rRNA from 1 species